rnacentral:rRNA from 1 species
AUAAGAGGUCCCGCCUGCCCUGUGACAUAAGUUUAACGGCCGCGGUAUUUUGACCGUGCGAAGGUAGCGCAAUCACUUGUCUUUUAAAUGAAGACCUGUAUGAAUGGCAUAACGAGGGCUAAGCUGUCUCCUUUCCCCGGUCAAUGAAAUUGAUCUUCCCGUGCAGAAGCGGGAAUACCGUCGUAAGACGAGAAGACCCUAUGGAGCUUAAGACACCAGGGUAGCCCAUGUUAAAAAUCCUAAGCUAAAAGGUUAAACCAAAUGGCCCCUACCCUCCUGUCUUUGGUUGGGGCGACCGCGGGGAAACAAAAAACCCCCACGUGGAACGGGGACACCCCCCUUAAAAGCAUGAGCCACAGCUCUAACAAACAGAACUUCUGACCAAUAAGAUCCGGCAACGCCGAUCAACGGACCGAGUUACCCUAGGGAUAACAGCGCAAUCCCCUUUUAGAGCCCAUAUCGACAAGGGGGUUUACGACCUCGAUGUUGGAUCAGGACAUCCUAAUGGUGCAGCCGCUAUUAAGGGUUCGUUUGUUCAACGAUUAAAGUCCUACGUGAUCUGAGUUCAGACCGG